rnacentral:rRNA from 1 species
AUUGAACGCUGGCGGCAGGCCUAACACAUGCAAGUCGAGCGGAUGAAGGGAGCUUGCUCCUGGAUUCAGCGGCGGACGGGUGAGUAAUGCCUAGGAAUCUGCCUGGUAGUGGGGGAUAACGUCCGGAAACGGGCGCUAAUACCGCAUACGUCCUGAGGGAGAAAGUGGGGGAUCUUCGGACCUCACGCUAUCAGAUGAGCCUAGGUCGGAUUAGCUAGUUGGUGGGGUAAAGGCCUACCAAGGCGACGAUCCGUAACUGGUCUGAGAGGAUGAUCAGUCACGCUGGAACUGAGACACGGUCCAGACUCCUACGGGAGGCAGCAGUGGGGAAUAUUGGACAAUGGGCGAAAGCCUGAUCCAGCCAUGCCGCGUGUGUGAAGAAGGUCUUCGGAUUGUGAAGCACUUUAAGUUGGGAGGAAGGGCAGUAAGUUAAUACCUUGCUGUUUUGACGUUACCAACAGAAUAAGCACCGGCUAACUUCGUG